rnacentral:rRNA from 1 species
GCGAGAGGCGGCGCUGCAGCCGCGGGAAUUGCGGGUGGGCAAGAGUGGUGCGGGAUUUCGGGGCGUAAAGGGCUCGUAGGCGUCCAGCGAAGUCGGAAGUGAAAUCCCCCGGGGCAACCUGUGAACGGCGUCGGAUACUGGAUGGCUGGAAUCCGGGAGAGGGAUGCAGAAUUCCAGGUGUAGCGGUGAAAUGCGUAGAUAUCUGGAGGAAUACCGGUGGCGAAGGCGGCAUCCUGGACCGGCAUUGACGCUGAGGAGCGAAAGCCAGGGGAGCAAACGGGAUUAGAUACCCGGGUAGUC